AGGAAUGGUCCAGAGGCUGGAGGAGCAGUAAUGUUCACUGGACUUCCAAGGGACGUGUUUUCCUGAACAGCGCUAUGAUCCUCACGUGCUGUUUGGAGAAGAGUCUCUUGCUGUGGGUAGAGAUAGAGACUACAGAAGUAAUGCUUCCUUUCUCUUGGUGUCAAUAUCAGACCUUUAAUUGUCAGCAACUAUAAGGUACCUGGAUAUCUAACUCCACAUGUUUUGUACCAUCCAUCCCAUCUCACUCAGGGAGGUGGUUCAAAUAAUGGCUGGGCACAAAACAAUGAUUCCUAAAUGGAGGGAAGGCAGAACUUUUAUUCCUGACAGCUCCCAAAGAGAGAAGUUCCCCACACAGAGCCACACAAGGGGUUGCACCAGGGGAAGGGUGACAGCAGGAACUGUUGGAGGUGGCUAAUGUGUAUGAGAAACAGUGUGAGGUUGGCCGGGUUUCACAGGCUUGUUGUGGACUGGGUAUUUUUCGUGAUUCUCCAAGUGCAAGGAAGAAAGGGCCAUCCCUUGAAGUUUGCUACCAGGGCCUCUGGCAGUUGGAUGUCUGUGUUGUAACCUGAAAGUGUUGGAGCACCGUAAGGGAAAGCAGUCAGAGUGUGCGUUUAGCAGACUGCAAAAGGGACUUGAAAGGUUUUUAGCCAUGAUCUCAAAACUGGGUCAAGACAGCACUUGUGAAAUAUGUUAUCUUGAGGCACAGAGUGACCCAGUAACUUGCUAAGGUCACCACUAAUAAGUGGCCGAGGCAGGACUUAGCACCAGGCAGUCUGAUUCCAGAAUCCAUGUGAGAAAAGGCUAGAAAAGUCAGUGCAGGAUCUGUCAAGGAGGCACUUGGCCUUUUAUCUGCCAACAGAUCUUUCUAAUCUCUUUUUUUGGGUUGUCCCUUCUUCCUCUAAGAUACAUGUGGUCUGUGCUGGUCCUUUGGGGAGAGGCUGUGGAUGUGAUUUUUGCAGGCAAGAGGCAAAGAAUGUUUACUGAUUUGUCAGUAACCAACUUUUCUUUUUUUUACUUUUUUUUUUUUCCUGUUAUUGUUGAAGGGGGAGGUAAUUAGGUUUAUUUAUUUAUUUAUUUUUAGAGGACGUGCUGGGGAUUGAACCCAUGACCUCAUGCAUGUUAGGCAUGCACUCUACCACUUGAACUAUACCCUCCCCUUGUCAGUAGCCACCUUUUAAAAUUCCUGUUUAGAACAUUUGAAGUACAUAUCUGGGCAAAGACGAAUAAUUUGGAGGAUUGGACCUCUCCUUCUGUUUUCUUUUGUGGGCCUUCUCCCCCUCUGUUUUUGAACUGAGAUUGGAUCCAUUGAAUGAAUGAUGACAAAUGCAAGCCUCUUUGUUUAACUUCCUCUGACUAUGCUAAACUCCUAUAUUCAUGUUGAACCAAUAAAGCAUUGGGUGUU